rnacentral:rRNA from 1 species
CAGCACCUCAAGUGGUCAGGAUGAUUAUUGGGCCUAAAGCAUCCGUAGCCGGCGCUGUAAGUUUUCGGUUAAAUCUGUACGCUCAACGUACAGGCUGCCGGGAAUACUGCAGCGCUAGGGAGUGGGAGAGGUAGACGGUACUCGGUAGGAAGGGGUAAAAUCCUUUGAUCUAUUGAUGACCACCUGUGGCGAAGGCGGACUACCAGAACACGUCCGACGGUGAGGGAUGAAAGCUGGGGGAGCAAACCGGAUUAGAUACCCGAGUAGUCC